ACGCUCGACACCUACGAGAGGCAGCAGUGGGGAAUAUUGCACAAUGGGGGAAACCCUGAUGCAGCGACGCCGCGUGAAGGAAGAAGUAUUUCGGUAUGUAAACUUCUAUCAGCAGGGAAGAAAAUGACGGUACCUGAGUAAGAAGCACCGGCUAAAUACGUGUCAGCAGCCGCGGUAAUCUGAGCGGGCUGGCAAGGC
rnacentral:rRNA from 1 species